AGAACAUGCACACACAUGCAGUUCAGGAGUUAUUGCAAAAUUGUUUCCCAGAAAAAUUGCUCCAAUUUACACUCUGAUCAUAAAAUUAGGGUUUUGAGAGAUUUAUUUGUGUUGAGUUAGUUCCAAGUGUUCUUGAAAAUGAGGGCUGGGGGAAGCUGACUUGGGAGAUUUGGGUCCUCUUCCAUAUGUGCAUGUGUCUUUGAUGGUCAUUAAUGAGAAGAAAAAGAUGCAUGAUUUUUUGUACUCCUAGUUCACAGAACUGAUGGUAUUGGUUAUACACACAGGGGAGUGCCAUAAAUUAUUUAUGUUUAAAAAACAUUGUGGUUUCAUGUAUAUGGAAUAAUCUUAAGAUUGUGAGUAGGGAAAGCAAUAAAGGUUAUUUGGAGUAACGUGGUAGCAAUGGAGAUAUUGAAAAAAUAAGGGAUAGAAUGUAUUUUAUUGGAAGUUAAUUACUUGUGUUUGACUUUACUGUGUGCCAAUAGUUCUUUCUGUCCUCAAUUUGCAGAUGAGACAACUGAACAGUGGACCAUUCCUAAAAUCAUCUAAUAAAGAGUUUAAGCUGAAUCUGGACAUCCUAACUGGUCUGAAUUGCUGCCAAUCAAGGUGCCCAGGAAGACUUCCGGAAAUGUCAUUCCAGGAGAUGUCACAGUGGGUGAUGCCAUAUGUGAGCAGGCAAGAGUUAAGUCAACAAAGUUGGUGAAGACAUGCUAAGGGAUCAGUGGUUCAUGACAGGCUGAAGAGGAUGUGAAUGAUUUGGUAGAUUAUUUUUUCAUUUUUAUAUUUAAACAUGUUACAUACCAAGAUCAGUGGGAGUUGCUCAAAUGUUUCAUUCUAAAAGUCUUGUGAAUUAGGCAUUUUAGACAAAUUUGCAAUGCAAAAACCAUGUUUGGAAUAAGUAUUCUUGCAAGCAUAGGGAAAGCUAGAAGGAAAGCCAAGGCCAUGUUCCAGAUUUCCAAUUCCCUAUUUUGGGUGCUUUUUAUAAAGUCUACGAAUGUACCAGAAAAGACAAUAGAAAUUCUGAUUAUACUGUGACAAAAUAAAGGCACAAGUUCUUUUCA
rnacentral:lncRNA from 1 species